rnacentral:rRNA from 1 species
UACGUAGGGACCGAGCGUUGUCCGGAUUCAUUGGGCGUAAAGAGCUCGUAGGCGGCCACUCAAGUCGAAUGUGAAACCUCGAGGCUUAACCUCGAGCCUGCAUUCGAUACGGGCAGACUCGAGUGUGGUAGGGGAGACUGGAACUCCUGGUGUAGCGGUGAAAUGCGCAGAUAUCAGGAAGAACACCGGUGGCGAAGGCGGGUCUCUGGGCCACUACUGACGCUGAGGAGCGAAAGCGUGGGGAGCGAACAGG